AUCUUCCGCAAUGGACGCAAGUCUGACGGAGCGACGCCGCGUGGGGGAUGAAGGCCUUCGGGUUGUAAACCUCUGUCCUUUGGGACGAAGAGGGUAUAGUGAUAUACCGAAGACGGUACCAAAGGAGGAAGCCCCGGCUAACUACGUGCCAGCAGCCGCGGUAAUACAUAGGGGGCGAGCGUUAUCCGGAAUUAUUGGGCGUAAAGCGUGCGUAGGCGGCUUAUUAAGUCUGACGUGAAAUCCCACAGCUUAACUGUGGAGGGUCGUUGGAAACUGGUAGGCUUGAGUACAGUAGAGGUAAGUGGAAUUCCAAGUGGAGCGGUGGAAUGCGUAGAUAUUUGGAGGAACACCAGUGGCGAAGGCGGCUUACUGGGCUGGAACUGACGCUGAUGCACGAAAGCGUGGGGAGCAAAC
rnacentral:rRNA from 1 species